rnacentral:rRNA from 1 species
GCUCGUGGAUCGAUGAAGACCGCAGCUAAAUGCGCGUCAGAAUGUGAACUGCAGGACACAUGAACACCGACAAGUUGAACGCAUAUUGCACAUCGUACAACAGUACGAUGUACACAUUUUUGAGUGCCUAUAUUUAUCCAUUCAACUAUGCGUGGCUCCCCCCCAAGGAGACCUGCAUGCGCAGUGACGUUUUCCCGCCUUCGGUGGCGGUAAAACGUUCAAGUCCGUCAGACGCACAUGACGAGCACAUACCACACUCCGCCCCGCCGCGGACCAGUUGUGCUACCGUCAUCGUGACCACACUUUCAUCUAGUAGGCCUCAAAUAAUGUGUGACUACCCCCUAAAUUUAAGCA